CCUACGGGAGGCAGCAGUGAGGAAUAUUGGUCAAUGGGCGCGAGCCUGAACCAGCCAAGUAGCGUGAAGGAUGACUGCCCUACGGGUUGUAAACUUCUUUUAUAAAGGAAUAAAGUGAGGCACGUGUGCCUUUUUGUAUGUACUUUAUGAAUAAGGAUCGGCUAACUCCGUGCCAGCAGCCGCGGUAAUACGGAGGAUCCGAGCGUUAUCCGGAUUUAUUGGGUUUAAAGGGAGCGUAGAUGGGUUGUUAAGUCAGUUGUGAAAGUUUGCGGCUCAACCGUAAAAUUGCAAUUGAUACUGGCAGCCUUGAGUACAGUUGAGGUAGGCGGAAUUCGUGGUGUAGCGGUGAAAUGCUUAGAUAUCGGGAGGAACACCAGUGGCGAAGGCGGCCUACUGGGCUUUAACUGACGCUGAGGCACGAAAGCGUGGGUAGCAAACAGGAUUAGAUACCCUUGUAGUC
rnacentral:rRNA from 1 species